GGGGAUUUAGCUCAGUGGUAGAGCACUUGCCUAGCAUGCGUAAGGUCCUGGGCUCAGUCCCCA
rnacentral:tRNA from 1 species